rnacentral:rRNA from 1 species
GAUGGAGAGUUUGAUCCUGGCUCAGGACGAACGCUGGCGGCGUGCCUUACGCAUGUAAGUCGGACGGCCCGAGAGGGCAGUGGCGAACGGCUGAGUAACACGUGAGUGACCUGUCCUGGUGAGGGGGAUAGCCGCUCGAAAGAGCGGGUAAUACCGCGUACGCUGGCUGGGGGGGACUUCAGUCAGGAAAGCAGUGAUGCGCACUGGGAGGGGCUCGCGGCCCAUCAGGUAGUUGGUGAGGUAAGGGCUCACCAAGCCGAUGACGGGUAGCUGGUCUGAGAGGAUGAUCAGCCAGACUGGGACUGAGAGACGGCCCAGACUCCUACGGGGGGCAGCAGCGGGGAAUAUUGCACAAUGGGCGGAAGCCUGAUGCAGCGACGCCGCGUGAGGGAAGAAGGUCUUCGGAUUGUAAACCUCUUUUGUCGGGGAAGAUGGUGACGGUACCCGGCGAAUAAGCCCCGGCUAACUACGUGCCAGCAGCCGCGGUAAUACGUAGGGGGCGAGCGUUGUCCGGAUUUACUGGGCGUAAAGAGCGCGUAGGCGGUUUGGCAAGUUGGCUGUUAAAUGCCUGGGCUUAACCCAGGUGGGUCGGCCGAGACUGCUGGACUAGAGGGCGGUAGAGGAAGGUGGAAUUCCGGGUGUAGUGGUGAAAUGCUUAGAGAUCCGGAGGAACACCGGUGGCGAAGGCGGCCUUCUGGGCCGUACCUGACGCUGAGGCGCGAAAGCGUGGGGAGCGAACUGAAUUAGAUACUCAGGUAGUCCACGCCCUAAACGAUGGACGCUAGGUGUAGGGGGUAUCGACUCCUCCUGUGCCGAAGCUAACGCAUUAAGCGUCCCGCCUGGGGAGUACGGCCGCAAGGCUAAAACUCAAAGGAAUUGACGGGGGCCCGCACAAGCAGCGGAGCGUGUGGUUUAAUUCGACGCAACGCGCAGAACCUUACCAGGGCUUGACAUGCACACGAAUGUCGCAGAGAUGUGGCAGUCCGCAAGGACGUGUGCACAGAUGCUGCAUGGCUGUCGUCAGCUCGUGCCGUGAGGUGUUGGGUUAAGUCCCGCAACGAGCGCAACCCUCGUCGCUAGUUGAAUGUCUAGCGAGACUGCCGAGUCUAACUCGGAGGAAGGUGGGGAUGAUGUCAAGUCAGCACGGCUCUUACGUCCUGGGCUACACACACGCUACAAUGGCCGGUACAGAGGGGUGCGAAGGGGCGACCUGGAGCAAAUCCCAUCAAAGCUGGCCUCAGUUCAGAUUGGAGUCUGCAACCCGACUCCAUGAAGGCGGAGUUGCUAGUAACCGCAGGUCAGCACACUGCGGUGAAUACGUUCCCGGGCCUUGUACACACCGCCCGUCACGUCAUGAAAGCCGGCAAGACCUGAAGCCGCUGAGCUAACCCGAGAGGGGGGCAGGCGCCGAAGGUCGGGCUGGUGAUUGGGACGAAGUCGUAACAAGGUAGCCGUAGCGGAAGCUGCGGCUGGAUCACCUCCUUUCUA